GAUGAACGCUGGCGGCGUGCCUAAUACAUGCCAGUCGAGCGAACAGAUGAGGAGCUUGCUCCUCUGACGUUAGCGGCGGACGGGUGAGUAACACGUGGAUAACCUACCUAUAAGACUGGGAUAACUUCGGGAAACCGGCGCUAAUAGCGGAUAAUAUAUUGAACCGCAUGGUUCAAUAGUGAAAGACGGCUUUGCUGUAACUUCUAGAUGGAUACGGGCCGCAUUAGCUAGUUGGUAAGGUAACGGGUUACCAAGGCAACGAUGCGUAGCCGAGCUGCGAGGGUGAUCGGCCACACUGGAAGUGGGACACGGUCCAGAGUCCUACGAGAGGCAGCAGUAGGGAAUCGUCCGCAAUGGGCGAAAGCCUUACGGAGCAACGCCGCGUGAGUUAUGAAAGUCUUCGGAUCGGAAAACUCUGUUAUUAGGGAAAAACAAAUGUGUAAGUAACUAUACACGGCGUGACGGUACCGAAUCAAAAAGCCACGGCUAACUACGUG
rnacentral:rRNA from 1 species